GAAUGGACCCAUGGCAGCUGCUUGUGGCUCUCCUGGAACACGCAUUCUUGGAACGUAGUCACCAUGUUGUAGAAAAGUCCAGGUUACGUGGAGAGGCCACCGUGGGUGCUCUGGCCAACCCCCAGGGUCGACCACCAGGAACGUGAGUGAGGACACCUAUGGGAUGUCUCCAGCUCCAGCUAUUUUCUGACUUCAUCCACUUGAGAGACCCCGAGCAACAACCAAUUCACUGAGCCCGGUCAACCCCACAACUACCACAGUUGACUGCAGGUACCUGAACUCGUGAAAGGUGAAACUGCAGACUCUGGAGCACUUAUUCAUGGUAGACAAAAGCAAAUAAUUCUGUUCUGCUAAGCUGAAUGCCCUCUGCUGAGGUACACAUCUGG